CAAAUAAAGGCCGAGUUAGCAGACGCACAAACUUUACUUCAACGAUAUCGAGCUGCAGAAGCGCUCAUGCGUAUACAGGUACCGCUCAUCUUCGUUUGUGGAGAUUGGUACGAUGGCUGGCACUGAAGUGUGUGCUUUUGCUUCUCGUCAUCAGAUUUGAUGUGAGCGAUGGAAGAUGGAAGUCUGAGUAUUGUCUUCUACCUCCGUCAUAUGGGACCUGCAAAGGACGCAUUGCGUCUUGGUACUAUGACCCGGGAAUAAGGAACUGUAAGAUGUUUUACUAUUCAGGUUGCGGUGAAAGCAAAAACAGAUUCUCUGGAGAAGGAUGGUGCCAGUGGUACUGCCUGCCCAGGAAAAUAAUGCGGAAAAAUGUUUGCAGCCGAAAUGGAUACGGUGAAAAGUGUUACGGCCGAACGCAGCGAUGGUACUUUGAUUACAAAACCAACACCUGCCGUCAAUUUGAGCAUGGGUACUGCGGACUAGUGCCUAACCGGUUCGACACUUGUGAGCAAUGCAUCACGAGAUGCAGUUGUGAGUGCGCCACUAUUUCUAC